rnacentral:lncRNA from 1 species
AUGCUGGCGAUCCCUCCGAGCAGGCUCCUGUGCUCUCUUCCCUUUAGGACAGAUCUUCCUGGAGCCUUCCAUUCCCUUUCCCAUCUCCUACCGCCUGUGAAAUUUGCUUCUAGGAGUCUGGUUUCCAGGAGCGCCUCCACCUGCCACCCCUGCACAUUCCUACAGCAUCUCUUAGCUUUCUGUCUAAGCCUACGAAACCCUGGCACAGCCAUCCCUUUGCUGGUUGGUCCAGAGCCUCUAUCAACUGGACAUCCGGAUAUUCGAAGAGUCGGGGCCGGGGGGGGGGGGGGGGGGGGGGGGGCACGGGGGUGUGUGGCUGCAGAACAGCUCCCACUCCCAGGUCGACUCAGACCUUUUCAAGUUGCUCCGGGGCCCAGCUCACCUGCAGCGCGCAGACGGGCACCCAGUCGGCUCGGGCACCCAGAGGACCGGGACGGCCAGGCCUCUGCUCAGUCACCGACGGGGCACGUGAGCUGCCCCUUCCCCUUUAGCGGCCGGGGCCUGCGGAGGUCUCGGUUCAGCCCCCCGCUCGCCGCAGCCGCUCCCUCCCGCAGCGACGUGAUCGCCAGCGCGGCCUGGAGACCAGCGUUCUGCCUCGGGGGACACCUGAGCCCGGGGUCCCGCGUGCACACUCUCGCGCGCGGUGCGAUAAACGGCAGGUGGCCCCGUGGGAGGUGCCUCUCGCGGUGCCUCUCUCUGGCGGGCGGGGCAAGGUCAUCACCUCUUUCUUCCAGCUCCGGGGAAGUUUCCGAACCAGGUCCCCGCGCGGCCACGCAGCGCGGCCUCCCGCGCCAGGGCGCGAAGGGAGGGUUCCGGAGGCGCCCCCCGCCCAGCUGGGUGCGCUUGGAGGACUCGCUCAGGAGCUCCAGAGACGUCUCUGCAAUGCACGCACCCAACUGUCCGCGCACCACUUGGCUGAGCCCCGCUUCCUCGCGCCCCAGUUUCCCUACAUUUCGGAUUCUUUUCUCCGCUUCUGGGCACCCCGACCCUGCCCAGGGUUGA